rnacentral:rRNA from 1 species
CUACGGGAUGCUCCAGUGAGGAAUAUUGCACAAUGGGGGGACCCUGAUGCAGCAACGCCGCGUGGAGGAUGACGCAUUUCGGUGUGUAAACUCCUUUUAUAUGUCAAGAAAAUGACGGUAGCAUAUGAAUAAGCACCGGCUAACUCCGUGCCAGCAGCCGCGGUAAUACGGAGGGUGCAAGCGUUACUCGGAAUCACUGGGCGUAAAGGACGCGUAGGCGGGUUGGAAAGUCAGGUGUGAAAUCCUACAGCUUAACUGUAGAACUGCACUUGAAACUUCUAAUCUAGAGUAUAGGAGGGGGAGAUGGAAUUAGUGGUGUAGGGGUAAAAUCCGUAGAUAUCACUAGGAAUACCUAAAGCGAAGGCGAUCUCCUGGAACAUUACUGACGCUAAGGCGUGAAAGCGUGGGGAGCAAACAGGAUUAGAUACCCUCGUAGUC